rnacentral:rRNA from 1 species
UGCCAGCAGCCGCGGUAAUACGGAGGGUGCAAGCGUUAAUCGGAAUUACUGGGCGUAAAGCGCGCGUAGGUGGUUUGGUAAGUCGGAUGUGAAAGCCCUGGGCUUAACCUGGGAAUUGCAUUCGAUACUGCCUAGCUAGAGUAUGGUAGAGGGAAGUGGAAUUCCGGGUGUAGCGGUGAAAUGCGUAGAUAUCCGGAGGAACACCAGUGGCGAAGGCGGCUUUCUGGACCGAUACUGACGCUGAGACGCGAAAGCGUGGGGAGCAAACAGGAUUAGAUA